rnacentral:snoRNA from 1 species
AUUCCAUAAUGAGAGCACUUUCAUAAUAAUUUUUUGUACCUUUCCUAUGCCUCAUGCAAGGACUCAUCAUUCAUUUUUUGGAAGGUAGUGAUCUUAUUCCUCAACUU